UAAUAAGUGUUUUAUAUGGCACUUUUUAAAUCCAUAUCCACCUUGUGUGGCAAUGUCAGGUUCGAUCUUCCUUCAUUUUGGAGGAUGACCAAACAUCAACCUUUAUCUUUUAACACACUUUGUCUGAAAAAUAUUAUGAAAUAAACAAUUCAAAAAUA
rnacentral:misc_RNA from 1 species